rnacentral:rRNA from 1 species
ACGCUGGCGGCGUGCCUAACACAUGCAAGUCGAACGGAGUAAGGAGAGCUUGCUUUCCUUGCUUAGUGGCGAACGGGUGAGUAACGCGUGAGGAACCUGCCUUUCAGUGGGGGACAACAGUUGGAAACGACUGCUAAUACCGCAUAACAUGAUCGGACCGCAUGAUCUGAUCAUCAAAGCUUUAUGUGCUGAGAGAUGGCCUCGCGUCUGAUUAGCUAGUUGGUGGGGUAACGGCCCACCAAGGCGACGAUCAGUAGCCGGUCUGAGAGGAUGAACGGCCACAUUGGGACUGAGAUACGGCCCAGACUCCUACGGGAGGCAGCAGUGGGGAAUAUUGGGCAAUGGGGGAAACCCUGACCCAGCAACGCCGCGUGAAGGAAGAAGGCCCUCGGGUUGUAAACUUCUUUACCAGGGACGAAGAACGUGACGGUACCUGGAGAAAAAGCCACGGCUAACUACGUG